rnacentral:lncRNA from 10 species
GUAUUCUUAAAGCAGGAGUGAGGACACAGUGAAAGUAAGACAAGGAAGAGAGAACAAAAUAAAACAGGAAAGAUAGAAAAGCCAAUACCACACGUGUUAAGAGGCAAGAUCCUGCGUUAGAUAUCUGGGCUUAAUUCUAUGGGUAGCUAUGUGGAAGAUGCCUCAGAAUUACAUCACUGAAUCCAGGGAGAUUCUUCUUAGUUACCCUCACCUUUUCUUCCCACUUCAUGCCCAGUAUCAAACUCCCGUGCUGCUAGAGAAAGUCCUCAGCUAGAAACAGCUGCAAAUUCUGGAGAUGACACUCUGUAGAGUGUUAAGAAUGGUUUUCUUCCCAGCAGCUACAGGGCAGAGAAGAUCCAGAGAAAGCCCAAGUGGCUGCUGGAACAAAGUCAGACACCGUGCCACCUGUCCACACUCCUUGGCUCUGCCAUCAUGCUGAAGAUUGGUUUAAAGGUCUGGCUUCCCUCCCCGCAAAAUUAAAAGAGCACAAACUGAGAAACUGAAUGUGGGAGACAGCAGUGGGUUAUGCUGUUCUCAGGGGUCACCUCAGGUUUGGAAGCGUUCUUUCAAAUUAACCCAUCUCAGGCCAUCUGCAGAGAAGAAAGGUGGUACCUAACAUUUUUUCUUGUCAGCACUUGGUAGGGGUGUUUUAUUGACCAAAUAUGUUCCCACAACCUAGUUUUUUGUAACUAAAUAUAGUAGAUUUUUAAAUUUUAUCAUCAAAAUCUAUAGACAAUUUUUUAUUAAAAUAGGCUCCACAUCUAUGUCCUGCUUUUCUUCUUAUUAAUUACAUUGCUGUAUGAAAGAACAAGACUUCAGAAUCAAGAAUAUCUUGUCUCUUGGCAUUGAAUUUAUACAAGGUGCUCUUUCUUUAAUGCUGUCUCAAAGGGCAUAUUUUUACUCAUUAAAAAGGAAGAUCAGAAUCUAGUUGUAUGCACUGCUCCAACGUAUUAAUAAUUAAAAUUAGGAUGUAAAUGUGGUCAAAGCUAUAGAAAGAUUUGGGAUGUCGUUUAUAUUGAUUACUGUAUAGCACUCUACAAACAGAAAUUGUGAAAUAAUAGCUUAUAUAAAUAUUUUGUAGCAUUUCAAAUAUUAGAGUGCCUGAAGUUUCUCCUCUUAUAUAGUUCAGAUUAUCAAUUUGAAUAGUUACUCCACUGGUUAAAAAGUUUUUAGUCUCGUUUCAGUAUUAAUAUAAAAGCAAUUUUCAGUUAAAAGUGUUCCGCUUACAUAAAACAUUAGAAACUAGUGAGUAUUUAAUUACAUUUUCGUAUUCCUGUAAUGCCUUUAGAAGAUUUUCAUAUUAUUACCUAUCAAUAUAUGUAUGCUUUGUCUAAGAAAAAUCAAUCAUAUACAUCAUUGAAAUGGAAACUUUUUAAAAGUACUUAUUAAUUCUAUUGAAAAACCACAUCCAUAGGAGCAAUUACAAUAUAAUAUUGUGAACAUGUAAAUAUAUAUCCUAUGUCUAUUUUAUAUAGAAGCAUAUGUGAUUAAAAAUAUAGUUAAUAAUUUUUAAACCUAGUUUCAUAAAGUAAAAAUUAGUUAAACUUCUGAUGAUUAUUUGUUAAUUAAGAUAAAAUU